rnacentral:lncRNA from 1 species
GUGCGAGUGGGGCAUCCGUGUACUGUGGACACAUUCUUGUUUUAAACCAACAUAGUACUAGACUUCCAUAUCAGUAGUAAGUCAUAAAUGUUGUUUUCCUCUGGUGAUGGAUAAUUGAAAACAGUUAGAAACUGGCUUUUCUUAAAUUUUCUCAAUUUAUUAUUUUAGCAUUUUUUUACCUUUUUUUUUUAAAUCAAAAAGAUACCAAAAAUUUU